rnacentral:rRNA from 1 species
GAUGAACGCUGGCGGCGUGCCUAAUACAUGCAAGUCGAGCGAACAGAUAAGGAGCUUGCUCCUUUGACGUUAGCGGCGGACGGGUGAGUAACACGUGGGUAACCUACCUAUAAGACUGGGAUAACUUCGGGAAACCGGAGCUAAUACCGGAUAACAUUUGGAACCGCAUGGUUCUAAAGUGAAAGAUGGUUUUGCUAUCACUUAUAGAUGGACCCGCGCCGUAUUAGCUAGUUGGUAAGGUAACGGCUUACCAAGGCAACGAUACGUAGCCGACCUGAGAGGGUGGUCGGCCACACUGAACCUGAGGCACGGUCCAGACUCCUACGGGAGGCGGCGGUAGGGAAUCUUCCGCAUUGGGCGAAAGCCUGACGGGGCAACGCCGCGGGGGUGAUAAAGGGUUUCGGCUCGUAAAACUCGGUUAUUAGGAAAGAAAAAAUGGGUAGUAACUGUGCACGUCUUGACGGUACCUAAUCAGAAAGCCACGGCUAACUACGUG